rnacentral:rRNA from 1 species
AACUUAGCAGAGAUGCUUUGGUGCCUUCGGGAACUCUGAGACAGGUGCUGCAUGGCUGUCGUCAGCUCGUGUUGUGACAUGUUGGGUUAAGUCCCGCAACGAGCGCAACCCUUAUCCUUUGUUGCCAGCGGCUCGGCCGGGAACUCAAAGGAGACUGCCGGUGAUAAACCGGAGGAAGGUGGGGAUGACGUCAAGUCAUCAUGGCCCUUACGGCCAGGGCUACACACGUGCUACAAUGGCGCAUACAAAGAGAAGCGACCUCGCGAGAGCAAGCGGACCUCAUAAAGUGCGUCGUAGUCCGGAUUGGAGUCUGCAACUCGACUCCAUGAAGUCGGAAUCGCUAGUAAUCGUAGAUCAGAAUGCUACGGUGAAUACGUUCCCGGGCCUUGUACACACCGCCCGUCACACCAUGGGAGUGGGUUGCAAAAGAAGUAGGUAGCUUAACCUUCGGGAGGGCGCUUACCACUUUGUGAUUCAUGACUGGGGUGAAGUCGUAACAAGGUAAGCGUACUACA